rnacentral:rRNA from 1 species
UACGUAGGGUGCAGGCGUUAAUCGGAAUUACUGGGCGUAAAGCGUGCGCAGGCGGUUUCUUAAGUCAGAUGUGAAAGCCCCGGGCUUAACCUGGGAAUGGCCAUGGAAACUGGCGAACUGGAGUGCGGCAGAGGGGGGUGGAAUUCCCGGUGUAGCGGUGAAAUGCGCAGAUAUCGGGAGGAACACCAAUGGCGAAGGCAGCUCGCUGGGACGGUACUGACGCUGAGACGCGAAAGCGUGGGGAGCAAACAGG